rnacentral:tRNA from 1 species
GAGGACGUGGGUUCGAUAAGGGUGCAAUAUGCGUUCCUAAUGGUGCCUCAGGGCGCUCAGAGAGCCAUCCGCUACGCCUAGUUUCUUACAGUUACGGGUUUCUUCUUUUCUGUCACGGCAGAGGUCGCGGGUUCGAGCCCCGUCGUCCCCGCCA